AUUGCUUUGGCAGAUUAGUGCGUUAAAUUUAGAAUUUAUUUAUGUAAUUGUUAUUACAGGCAAUA
rnacentral:tRNA from 1 species